rnacentral:lncRNA from 1 species
AUUAUUGUAAUGAGAAAAGUUGAAUAUUCUGGUACUGAAACAUGGUCUGCUUCCUUUCGGACUCUCGACAGACACACUACAUCUGUGAGAGUUGAUGUUGGGACCUUUACAUGUUGUGGGGAAAACUAGCUUAUGUCUCGAAUGAAAUGAGACAUUGCGGCUCUGCUACCGUUGUUGAAAGCAGGCCAGCUGUUCUGAUGUUGUAGAGACAGACCGGGAUCAACUGACACCUAUAAGAUUCAAAAUUCAAACUCUUUUAAUAAAAUAAAUAAAAACAAAAAUAAUACAAAACAGUUACAAUCACAAUAAAGUAAAACAAAUAUUGGCAAUUAUUUCUUUAAAAGAAAACAAUGGAUAUUUUAUUAAAAC